rnacentral:rRNA from 1 species
UACGUAGGGGGCAAGCGUUGUCCGGAUUUAUUGGGCGUAAAGAGCGUGUAGGCGGCUCAUUUUGUCAGGCGUGAAAGCCCCGGGCUUAACCUGGGAACUGCGUUUGAUACGGAUGGGCUAGAGUUCGGGAGAGGAGAGUGGAAUUCCCAGUGUAGAGGUGAAAUUCGUAGAUAUUGGGAAGAACACCGGUGGCGAAGGCGGCUCUCUGGACCGAGACUGACGCUGAGGCGCGAAAGCGUGGGGAGCAAACAGG